UACAGGGGGGGCAAGCGUUGUUCGGAAUUACUGGGCGUAAAGGGCUCGUAGGUGGCCGACUAAGUCAGACGUGAAAUCCCUCAGCUUAACUGGGGAACUGCGUCUGAUACUGGAUGGCUUGAGUUUGGGAGAGGGAUGCGGAAUUCCAGGUGUAGCGGUGAAAUGCGUAGAUAUCGUGAGGAACACCAGAGGCGAAGGCGGUUACCUGGACAAUUACUGACGCUCAGGCACGAAAGCAUGGGGAGCAAAAGGG
rnacentral:rRNA from 1 species